UUUCAGUAUUUCAAAGCGUUGGCUUGGGAAUCGUGAAAUCGAAAUCGAAAUCGAAAUCGAUCUGAUCGAAUGAACAAAUGAACGAACGAAUGAGCGAAAAAAUAAAUGAAUGGUUUGCAUCGCACUGCAAUCAACGGAUUUCUUCCUAUUGGUUUAUUUUCAAACGUCCAUUGUGAAUAAGAGGGAAAAAACCAUUCGACUGAAUGACCAACCAACCGACCGUUCGAACGCACCUCAUCAAUUUCACAUUACAUUCGAGUAAAUUUUAUCAAUUAGUUUGAUAUUAUCUUGAAAAUUGCUGCAAUUGAUUGCAGUGACCAACGUACGAUACCGAAUACUAAUUCUAAUUGCGUUUCGUCCAUGCAAAAAUGGCCAUACUGUUUGGUUCGCAUUGUCGGCAGCCAAAUCUGAAACAUUUUCAUUUGGCACAAACGUGGAACCAGCAGCUUAGGAUAAUAUGGAGAAACAACUUCGUUUCAUUCCAUCCAUAUAGCAUAGUAUAUAGCAUUUGAAAAUGCGAACAGCAAAUAUGAAACAAAGAAUCAUCUCUGGAUGCCACAACGGAAUCUAUAUACUCAUAAGCUUUUUGAAGGUGCGAUAUGCACAAUUAGUAUUAAAAACAUUUCAAUUCGUAACGUUUUAAGUCUUAAGUUGAACGAUUUUCAGUUUCAAGUUGGAACUAAAUAGUGCAAAAUAUGUUUUACAAUUAUUAGAAAAAAUCUCGUGUGCAAAAACAAAAGAAGAUUUCCCAUAUGACCGUUACUCUGUCCCAUAUGGUUCUUUGGCAAAAUGACAGAAGCCAUUGGGUUCAAAUAAAUGAGUUUAAGGACUUAUUAUCGAAUAGAACAUAAGUUAGGUUGGUUCGAUUUUAAAAAUGUAUGAACAAAAAUAAUAAUACCAGGACACAUCUUAAUCGAAAGUGGGCCUCAAUACAAAAAAAAUUUUUGAUUCACGAUUUAAGAUUUAUUUAGCCAAAACUUCGAAUGCAAAUGACAAACGAACAUUGAUUGGUUAAAUUUCAAUCAUUUUUCUACAAAUAAUUAGAAUGAUGAUGGAAAUUAUUUGCACACGCGAAUUAUAAAUUGUUUCGAAACGACUUUUUUUACAACUUGUAUAAAUUUAGAGCUUAAAUUAUUAAAUUGAUUGAUAUUCGUAUGGUGGAUUUCCAAUAAUAUAAGGAACAAUUCUGUUGAUAUUAUGUGGAAUUAAAUAAGAUAUACUUCAUAUAUUAUAUUCAAAGCCGAUGUAGCUAUAGAUAGAUAUGCUUAAAACACACGAACAUUUGAACUAGAACAUUUAAACGCAUAAAUAAAUAAAGUAAAUGAAAAUGCAUGUUCAAAAUUGCAGAAUGAAUGGUAUAGAUAAUAGAUGAACUUUCGAAGCGAGUCAUCGAAAUGUGCUUCAAAAAUCCCUAAUUAUUGUUUGACAUUAGAAUAUAUAGGGGAAGAUGGGGAAAUUCGGAACACACAUCGAAAUAAUUCAAUAACAUUCUAAAAAAUUAACAUUUUUCCAAAUUCUAAAGUGGUACUAGACUUAGUAAAUGUAAAAACCUAACUUUUGACACUUGUCAACAGGCGAAAUUCGAAUCGGUUGAAAAAAUGUAUCCUGUUGGCAAAAAACCCUUGAUUUUACGAUUUUGAAAAAUGGUGGGGAAAUUCGGAACACUUCAUAAAUGGAUAGAAAACUGAAACAAUUUUGAUGCAAAACGUUUAUUGAGUACUAGGAAAAGACAGGAGAAUUAAUUUUAAUGAGGAAAAAGUUCAAAAAUAGCGAUUGUUGUUGUGAAAUAGCUACCAAUCAUUUUGGUGCAUUUCAAGUGGACAGCUCGAUCGCAUAAAUUGCAAUGAGUAUUUUGUCAAAAUUUUGCAUGAAAUAUUAUAAAUAUGCAUAAAAAAGCGAUAUCAACUUGAAAAGUAUUAAAAAUCACUUGAUGAAUUUUUCGUAUAUAGUGCGUUCCGAAAUUCCCCACUCACUAAGGUUUACAACAUAAUCGUGUUUUGGUCACUCAAUGAAUUUUCAUGCAAAAUUCCUUUUGUGAGUCGAAAUAUUAAUGGUAUACGAUAAUUAUAAACAUAUUCGGCUGAGUUGAUUUUUCGAAAAAUGUUAUGGAAUCAAUGCAGACAGGCAUUCUCAAUAUUAAAUUUUCAUGACUUGAUUUCAUGUCGAUGACGCACAGAGCUAACAGUACGUUCACAAUCGUCGAGUGCUAAUGGAAAUAUGAGGUUUUGUUUAAAGAAAACGAUGACAGUUGUUCACAUGUCUCAAACUAUUCAUUUGCGGCGAAAUUUGGCGGUGUUCCGAAUUUCCCCACGUUCCGAAUUCCCUCACCUUCCCCUAUAUAAAUGAACAUUAAAUAGCAUUUACAGUGGCGACUCACGUGAGCACAUGAGAUACAAUAAUUGAGGUUAAAGUGAUACGCCAUCGAUAAUAUGGGUUAUUAGUUUUAACACACAACACGCAUUUAUAUCUUCUGUUUCUAUUCAACUAAUUAUUUGAAGGUGAACGAAAAGGAAUCCAAAUGAUCCUGAAUAAGUAAAUGACAAUUCCUUCAUUGCUUCGCAUUUAAUUUUUAACUAGACCAAGAUUGACAGAUUGAAGGAAGGAAAAUGCUUUCAAAAUGGGGUUUACAAAAGGAAUAAAAGUCGUAAGCUUGGCAAAUUUGUGUCAUUUGUUCGGUGGGGUCUUUGAAAAGUGUACGCAGAUCAUGUAGAUUAUUUAAAAAAAACCUGGAAUGUAUAAUUGGAAGUGAAAUAUUUAAAUCGUUUUAUGACUAUCGUUUGAGAGCCCGCCAUCAGAACAAAAUGAGUCCGUUCCCGAUCAAAUACAUCCGGUUAAUUCAUAUUAAGUGUUUGCAGUUCAGUUUUCCCGCAAUUACAUGAUAUUACUGGUCAUAAUCUGAAUGUGACGAAAAUAACUUGUGAAGCAAUAGACUUAUCGUUCACUUCAUCUCGAUGAUACAUAUAUUACCAUGGAAAAUUAGUGAACAAUAUCGUGCAAACACUCAAACUGGACACGAUAAUGCGAACGGAUAUGCAGCAAUGAAGCUGCCAAAUCAUUCUGAUUGCAAAUGCAUUCAUGGACGUUGAAGAAGCUAUAAUUUCGUGAAAAUGACGAAAAAAUAAUGGGGAAUUCCAUCUGAAUAAUUUAUUUGGUCGUUUCCAUCUGGGUAUGGCAGCACAAUAAAACUUUUAUAACGAGGAGGUUUUCAUGGGCAAAUCUCUCGCAAAGAGAGAGAGAGAGAGAGAGAGAGAGAGAGAGAGAGAGAGAGAGAAAGAGAUAGACGUUGAGCGAGUUUGUUGCUAAUAUCAAGUUAAAUUUUACAUAUAGAAUAUUAAUGACAAAUGCAUUACGCACACGCACCAUAUUCGCACACACAGCAACAUUUUCAUUCAACUGAACCAACUAUCCGCACUCACUUUUACAAUCGUUGUGUACUAUUGUGUCACACCAUUUGAAGCAAAUAGAAUCACUGUAAUUUAAAUGGAAUUAAUUUAAUGAGGUGUGUUUUUCGUAAUAGCACCCAAACACGAAACCUCUAGAAAAUUCGUCAACAAAAACAUGUGUAAAUAAAUAUUAUGGAUACGAACAAUUGUUCAAAUCUCUACAGCAAAUGCCCACCAGAAAAAUUUGGCAAAAUUAGCAACACAACGCCUGGUGGAAAAAAAAAAUUACGAAUACAUGGCAUGGAAAAAAGCGGAUUUGUUUGCAUUUCUCACGGUUAUCCUUAAGCUAUUCAUGAUUGAUGUCAAUAUCCCAAUAUGUGAUAAUUAGAAAGGAUAUAAAUUACUAACGUUUUAUGGAAACAAAAGCAUGUAGAACAUCGGUUCGGUGGUUUUUGGCGUGCGUGUUGAAUGUCAUUGGUGCGUAUAUGGAAAACAACAGCUACUCAGAGACACAGCGAUCCCGCAUGGUGGCACAAUUGAAUUUAUGAUAAAAACAACGUUUGAGUAUAUUCUAUUGCGCCUCAAUGUUGGUUCGGUUAUUUACAAAGAAUCCUAGUUAUUCACCUGUAUAGCUCAUAAACUUCGUCCGUCUUUAUGACAUUCAAUGACAUUCAAGACGAACAAUACCGAAAAAUCACCAUAAUGCAUUUUGUUGCAGAAAUAAUUAAAACUAUCAACUUAAUUCACACAAACCGUCUUAACAAAUCAUACAAAUAUUUUUAAAAAGUUGUUGGCAUGUUGAUUGCGCUACAACGAUACCAUUAAAACCAUAGAUUUUACAAUUUCUCUUUAUUGUCGAUGAGAUUACAAAUUUGUGUACUAUUCGAAAGAACUACCGAGAAUAAUGUCACAUUCAUAUCGCACAGUAAAAAUGAAAAUGAUGAUACAUUUUCUGCAAAGGUGGUUUCUUCAAAGAAUCAUGUGCGAAUUCCCAUUUGCCAAUGUUCAAACUUCAAAGGUUUGUCACUAUUCAGUACUGAAUCGCUUUCAAUCGCCCCCUUGCUAACCAGAUACUACGGAUUUAUUCUCACUAGUUUAAUUUUCAUACAUUUAGGUAGGUAAUGUUGAUUUUGAAUUUGGAUAUUUGAUUGCCUUUAACCGCUGCAUUUUCAAUGAAAUUUGGCCUUAAUUUUCAAAAAGCAUUUCUAUCGCAUCAAAAUUAUAACGCGUUGCUUUCUAUUCAUUAAUUCAUACAAAUCUAUGAUAUUUUAUGAAUAUUGUGAUGUUUAUAGAUUUCAUAUUUAAUUUAUAAGAUGUUUAAGAACAUAGAAAUUUAUCAUAUAUAAGACGAACAAAAUCAUUUCAAUUAGCCUAUCUAAAAUCGAAUUGAAUGUUAUUGGUUUUUAAGCCGUAAGUUUCGCUUCAUAAAUUUUGACAAAAAGUAUACACUGACGAAAGUCUGAGAAAAACUAUUCCAACCAUGCGGUGUAAAUGUUGUCAUUGUACAUAAUUCUUGUAAAAUGUUCAAAAUCAAAAUCUUGGUUCAAACUUGGAAAAUGUGAGAAUACAUUCAAAGUCUUAAAUAGAAUGGAACAUUUUACACAAUUCCGUGCCGUGAUAACAUUUACAUCGCAGGGUUGAAAUAAUUCAUCCAUAUCUUCUGUCAGAAUAAAUUCUACGGAUAAAAUAUAGAAAAAAAAUAUGUUAUAAAUAAAUGUGAACCUUCAACUCGACAACUUCAACAAAUUAUAGAUGUUUACAAAAAUAAAUAAACAAAAGAGUGCAUCGAGACUAAAA